GGUAAAGUGGCUGAGGUUAGGCGAUAAACUGUAAAUUUAUAGACGGGUAAUUACUCCUUUACCA
rnacentral:tRNA from 1 species